rnacentral:lncRNA from 1 species
AAGAGCUGGAAAAGUUUUUCCCACAUUGCGGGUUGUCUCUUCACACUGUUGGUUCUUUCUCUUGCUGUGCAGAAGAUUUCUAAUAAGAAGAGAUCCCACUUGUUGAGACUUUGUGCUAAUUUAUGGGCAACUGAGGUUUUGCUCAUAAAAUAUUUUCCUGCACUAGUGUCUUCAAGAAUUUCACAUAACCUUUCUUCCAACCAGUUUAGUGUUUCUGUUUUAAUAUUUAGAUCUUUAAUCCAUUUUGAUUUUAAUUUAGUGCAUGGUGAGAAAUACAGGCCUAGUUUUAAUCUCACAUGUCUAUGUUUGCUGGACAUUUCUGUUCAUAUGAAUUUAAUUUAGGUGAUCUCAGCUGAGCUUACUAACGGUGUUGGCAGAUGGCUGGAGAGUUGUUGAGGGAUAAAAUAACUAGGUUGUGCUCUGUCUUUCAACUUCUAGUGGACAACAUUUAGCUUGACCUUAUUCUUAUGGAGAAGGUGAAGAAACAAAGAAAGAAUGGAAACCAGCAAGGCCUUUUGAGAUCUGGAGUUGGAAUUAGCAGGAAUCACCAGGACAGCUCAGACUCAAGGAACAGGAAAUGAGGGUAGAGAAGAGGAGCUGCUGAGUGAAGAAAUAACUACUGCAAGUGUUUCCUUGUAAUUAUGAACAGUUACAGCUGCCUGUGACUUCAAAAAGCAAUGCUUAUGAUUCUGGAAAGUGGCAUUUUAAGUUUCACGUUGGCCAUGGACUUUCUAGCCAGCAUACCUGAAUGCACUGUUUGCUCAGUCAGCCCUGACUUUGCACUUUCUGCUUCCCCAAAGGCAAUGCCUGCCUACUCUCUAUUUUCAUCUCCACACAGGCUCAGAUGUUAUCUCUAUGAACACUCCAUGUAUGACUCCUUGCUUCUUGGCUUUUCUCCUGAGGUCAUCUGUAUGUGUACGAUCACUUGGAACUUAGUGAAUAUAAUGUGGAAUUUCUUGGUCACAGAUUCUAUAAAAACAGAAGCCAUGUUUCACAUUCUCAUCACUGUUCCCUCAGUUAUGAUAGCACCCGGUAUAUGCUUACUGAAUAUCUACAUAAUUUAUGAAGAAUAAAAGGACAAAAAUGUGGGAUGGAAAUAAUUAAAACUUCUACCUUUUAAAAAGAAAUACAAAC